rnacentral:misc_RNA from 1 species
GCCUAGCCCUGAUUGAAGCAUUUGUUUGAGCUCAUUUUUGCUUAUUCGGCUGCGGCGGCUUCGCCGCCGCAGCCGAAUAAGCAAAAAUAGCGAGUGCGGAAAGCGGGAAAAAGC